GACGAACGCUGGCGGCGUGCCUAAUACAUGCAAGUUGAGCGCUGAAGGUUGGUACUUGUACCAACUGGAUGAGCAGCGAACGGGUGAGUAACGCGUGGGGAAUCUGCCUUUGAGCGGGGGACAACAUUUGGAAACGAAUGCUAAUACCGCAUAAAAACUUUAAACACAAGUUUUAAGUUUGAAAGAUGCAAUUGCAUCACUCAAAGAUGAUCCCGCGUUGUAUUAGCUAGUUGGUGAGGUAAAGGCUCACCAAGGCGAUGAUACAUAGCCGACCUGAGAGGGUGAUCGGCCACAUUGGAACUGAGACACGGCCCAAACUCCUACGGGAGGCAGCAGUAGGGAAUCUUCGGCAAUGGACGAAAGUCUGACCGAGCAACGCCGCGUGAGUGAAGAAGGUUUUCGGAUCGUAAAACUCUGUUGGUAGAGAAGAACGUUGGUGUGAGUGGAAAGCUCAUCAAGUGACGGUAACUACCCAGAAAGGGACGGCUAACUACGU
rnacentral:rRNA from 1 species